UAAAUUGAAGUCAGGGCUUAAACCUUUCCACCCAUCCAUUUUAACCUUGUAAUCUCUCUUAAAAGACAUUUUAGUUCAAAAAAGAAAUUGCACGACUUUGAAGACAGCAUAAAAAUUGAUAUAUCAGCAAAUUGCUCCAGUAGUAUCAUCGAAUCAUAAACCGAAAAUACAAGACAACAUUUACAUAAAGCUACAAAUCUAGAACUUCAGCUUUUUGUAAAUUUUGAGAUUUUCCAUUGCGUGAGUGCAGAUUGACCAGGAUAUAACAUUCUUUGAUCGCUUGGUAUCACUUUUGUUCAUAACGUGUCACAUGCUGAUGCAUUCUGUGCUCAAUGAUAGCUUGACAACAUCUUUUGCCUUGAGGCAUACUAGACACUGCUGAUGUCCACUCGGCUCUUAUGAAGCUGAAAAGCUGGGGUAAUCCAACUCCCACAACUGCAUUGGAUACCUGACCAAUUAAAGUAACCCAAGCGAGCUUCACAGUGAGCGCAUAACAGCUUCCCCUCUAAUGCACCUUCCUCAACUGCUGACAUCCACCGUAAAGGUUCAACAAAAAGGGAUGAACACUCAGGCUCAUCAGACUUGUUAAAGGGAUUGCCACUUCUCCUCUUGUUCCAGGCAAAGGAUGUCUCACCUUCCCCUGGAAUGUGAUCCACCACAUUCUCCUGCAAUGCAACAACUCUUCGGCAUUUCUUGCAGCGGUAUGCAGUUGUACGCCUAUUUUCAUCAUUUGGAGAUGGUGAAAUCUCAGAGGAAACACCAGUAGGCAUGCCAGGAUCAGCCCCAAGUUUAGAACUGUCUAUCUUCUCUCCACGGUUAUAAGAAUCACCUAAGAGUAGGGCUUACACAAUCCUUGUUAGAAGUGAUAACCAUAAAUUAAUCAUCAGUGAUAAUUCAAUAUGUUAGUAAUGGUGAAAGUUGACAAUACAAAGAUUAGUGGUAAGUAAUGAACAUAUAAGAAAGUACAAAGUUUUAAAUUCACUAGGAUGCUCAUUGUCAAAAGAAACUAGGGAAAGAGAACCACCAUAUUUAUAAGUAAGCAAAGCAUCAAAUGCAUCAGUUAUGUCAUGCUAAGCUCAUGUGUACAAGAUCAAGAUUAAGAGCAGCUACUUCAUGCAAAAUACUGAAGCCUAAUACCAUAAGAGUUCAUGUAGCUAGACUUAGACUGGAUGUCUCAAAAGUCAUUUCAUUCAAUAUCUGUGAGGAUAACAAUUCCUUUUUGUAUGUGGUGUCAUAUCAUAGUCAUUUUGCAUGUGGGCCAGCCGCAUUGAGGAUGGGAGAGGGAGGGGGAGGAGAGCUAAGAACAUGUACCCAAUACUUUCAGACGAAAGCGCUUGUAUAUUGGACUUGCAUGAUUGACCUUGAAGCCCAUUUCCUCAAACAUUUUUAACUGCAAUAGGAAAAAGAAAAUAAUUAUCGCAUGAUGAUAGUCUAAAGACACAGGAAACUAAACCUUAGAAACACCAUGCUUUUAAAUUGCCUUGCAUCACCUGAUCUACAAAGCCAUCAUUGGGGCAAACAAACUCGCAGCUUUCCUUUAGGGAUUCAAGAGCAUCUGCAGAAAUGCAUAAGUGAAAAUUGAAAAGGGAGAAAUAAGGUAUUGGAUAUGUUCAUUUUAUCAGACAAGCAAGCCAUCAGUUUUCAGAGUACAUAUAAUGAAGGCCAUAGGAAUAUACCAACUUGCUGACCCAAAAUGCAAUAAAAUGGAUUUGUUCAAACCUUCUUGAGAUAGUUGUUCAGUUCUCAUCAAAUAUGCUGUAAUGAUAGCUGCACUGCAACAAACACAUGAAAAGAAGGGAGUGAACCCUUUUUUCCUAGCUUUAUAUAGUUAAAGAUUAUAGAAAAAUAUAAAUUGCUAUAUUUUUUUUAAAAAAAAAAGGGUUAUUAAUUGCACAUGAAAACUCAAAUAGACAGGUAAAAAAACCUUCUUCCCUCUAAACUACCAAUACUUGUUUUACCUCUUCUCACAAAGAAAAUCAACACUCAUUGGUAUGUGCAGAGCAUAGGCAUGUAAUAGGAAAGAAUCGAGCAUUUGGACCUGAAUUCUUGCUCUAAAUAAAACUAAAUCAGGCGGCCCAACAAACAAUCAGCUUCUUUUCCUUGAUUUUCUUUUAUUGCAAAACAACCAGCUCUACAAGUGUUUGAAUAGAAGGUUCUCUAACAAGCAAAAAAUUAAAAUUAAAAAUAAAGGGAGGUGCAUUGGAUAUAAGCAAAGUCAUCCAAAAUUUUCACUUCAUGCACACUUACAUCGCUAACCUGUGACAUCAUCAAGAUUUUGAUAGAGGACUACAACAUGAUGAUUUUUAAUGACAUACUUUUAACCUAAAUUUUACAAUUAGGGGAAUUUAUUAAUGAUUUGUCCAAAGAAUUGUUUCUUAUUUCUGUUAAGAUUUGUUUUCUUAUUUUUCUGUAGAUAUUUGCCUAUACAAAUUACCAUGCAGGAACAUUAAAAAUUACCCAUUGUUUGGAUCCUUAAUUGUGUAGGGAAAAUGAAGAGAAUUUGAGUAGGGCACAUGAAGAGAAAAGAAAAGAAAUCUAAUUUCCUUUAUGAUGUUUGGAUAGAUUAUUAGAACACGAGAGAAAUUUGAGUAAAGGAAAUGAUGUUUGCAUUUACAUACAAGUAAUUUCAUAACAA
rnacentral:misc_RNA from 1 species